CUUAUGUGUAUGUGAUGUUGAUCUUUAAAAUAUUCAAAACAAAUAGUCAUACUGUAAUUAAUCUGAAAUACAUUAAAAUUGUUUUUCUUUGUAGACUUGGAAGGAGCUUGAGUUGCAGAUAACUGAUUUCACUAAUGAGGCAAAAGACAAUGUCAAGUUUAUUUACACGUUAGAGAAAUACUGUGAACCAUUGUACAAAUGUAAUCCGGUACAUGCAAGACUACAGAAGAUGAGUGCCAUUGCUCCAAUGAAUAUCUUCCUAAGACAAGAGAUUGGCCGAAUGCAAAGGGUCAUUACAAUAGUGAGGAACACUUUACAAGAUCUACAGCUGGCAAUAGAUGGCACUAUUGUUAUGAGUGAAACUCUUCGUAAUACUCUUGACAAUAUGUAUGAUGCAAGAAUCCCUACAGCCUGGAGAAAAGUUAGUUACAUUAUAUUGUGUGUUGAGUGAAGAAAAACUGGUUUAUAUUUUGUGGUUUUAAUUUUCUGUGGAUGGCAGUUUAUGAAGCCUGUAAUCACGAAAUUAUACACUAAAAAGACAAGAAUGAGAGAGGCAUUUUGUUGCCAAAUAUACACCAUCUUUCUAAUUGUGGCAACA